UACGUAGGGAGCAAGCGUUGUCCGGAAUCAUUGGGCGUAAAGCGCGCGUAGGCGGCCCGGUAAGUCCGCUGUGAAAGUCAAAGGCUCAACCUUUGAAUGUCAGCGGAUACUGCCGGGCUAGAGUCCGGAAGAGGCGAGUGGAACUCCUGGUGUAGCGGUGGAAUGCGCAGAUAUCAGGAAGAACACCAACGGCGAAGGCAGCUCGCUGGGACGGAACUGACGCUAAGGCGCGAAAGCGUGGGGAGCGAACAGG
rnacentral:rRNA from 1 species